CGAAAGUGUUGCUCAAAAGUGCAUGAACAAUUUGGUUCUCAACUCAUAAUUUUCAUUACAUUUUACGCAUUCGAAAUGUGUGUGUUACGUCCUGCUGCUACUGUUGUUAUCCUCCCCUCAGCGGGUCCAAAAAUUGAAAAGUUCAAAUUGAAUUUGAAUUCAAUUUGGCUGGCAGCCAUCAUCGCAAAUGGACAGGAGUCGAGCUGGCAACAAAAUAAGAGGAAUUGAGUUAUGACUGCGUAUGUAAUGCACCUUAACUGCCGGGGAAAAAAAGGGAAGGAAGUGGGACUCCACUUGAUUAGCCCAGAACGAGCGAGAAAGCUACAGAGCUGUGAUGGAAUACAAGAAGAGGAACUUACAAACACUAAGGAGAGCCUGUCAUUGGAUUGAUCUAGUUUAUUCCUUUUAGAAUUCUGUAGAGAUUUACUGGAAACAGAGAGAACCACGAGGAGGUAGCAUUUUUCAUUUCAAUUGAAUG